rnacentral:rRNA from 1 species
UACGUAGGGCGCAAGCGUUAUCCGGAAUUAUUGGGCGUAAAGAGCUCGUAGGUGGUCCGCUGCGUCCGCUGUGAAAUCCCAGGGCUUAACCCUGGGCUUGCAGUGGAUACGGGCAGACUAGAGGUAGGUAGGGGAGAAUGGAAUUCCCGGUGUAGCGGUGAAAUGCGCAGAUAUCGGGAGGAACACCGGUGGCGAAGGCGGUCUCUGGGCCUUACCUGACACUGAGGAGCGAAAGCGUGGGAGCGAACAGG